rnacentral:piRNA from 1 species
UGGUCACUCAGUUUGUCCAGGGUUGU